rnacentral:rRNA from 1 species
GAUUAACGCUAGCGGCAGGCCUAAUACAUGCAAGUUGAACGGGAUUGAUUGUAGCAAUACGGUCAUGAGAGUAGCGCACGGGUGCGUAACACGUAUGCAACCUACCUAUAACUGGGGAAUAGCCUCCCGAAAGAGAGAUUAAUACCGCAUAAUAUUAUUGAAUGGCAUCAUUUGAUAAUUAAACCUCAGGGGGGUAUAGAUGGGCAUGCGUCCGAUUAGCUAGUUGGUGAGGUAAUGGCUCACCAAGGCUACGAUCGGUAGGGGGUCUGAGAGGAUGAUCCCCCACACUGGUACUGAGACACGGACCAGACUCCUACGGGAGGCAGCAGUAAGGAAUAUUGGACAAUGGGCGCAAGCCUGAUCCAGCCAUGCCGCGUGAAGGAUGAAGGCCCUAUGGGUCGUAAACUUCUUUUAAACGGGACGAAACCCCUCGACGUGUCGAGGGCUGACGGUACCGUAAGAAUAAGGGUCGGCUAACUUCGUGCCAGCCGCCGCCGUAACAC